GAUGAACGCUGGCGGCGCGCCUAAUACAUGCAAGUCGAGCGAACAGACGAGGAGCUUGCUCCUCUGACGUUAGCGGCGGACGGGUGAGUAACACGUGGAUAACCUACCUAUAAGACUGGGAUAACUUCGGGAAACCGGAGCUAAUACCGGAUAAUAUAUUGAACCGCAUGGUUCAAUAGUGAAAGACGGUUUUGCUGUCACUUAUAGAUGGAUCCGCGCCGCAUUAGCUAGUUGGUAAGGUAACGGCUUACCAAGGCAACGAUGCGUAGCCGACCUGAGAGGGUGAUCGGCCACACUGGAACUGAGACACGGUCCAGACUCCUACGGGAGGCAGCAGUAGGGAAUCUUCCGCAAUGGGCUAAAGCCUGACGGAGCAACGCCGCGUGAGUGAUGAAGGUCUUCGGAUCGUAAAACUCUGUUAUUAGGGAAGAACAAAUGUGUAAGUAACUAUGCACGUCUUGACGGUACCUAAUCAGAAAGCCACGGCUAACUACGUG
rnacentral:rRNA from 1 species